CCUACGGGAGGCAGCAGUGGGGAAUAUUGCACAAUGGGGGAAACCCUGAUGCAGCGACGCCGCGUGAGUGAAGAAGUAUCUCGGUACGUAAAGCUCUAUCAGCAGGGAAGAAAAUGACGAUACCUGACUAAGAAGCCCCGGCUAACUCCGUGCCAGCAGCCGCGGUAAUACGUAGGGGGCACACGUUAGCCGGAGUGACUGGGGGUAAAGGGAGCGUAGACGGCAGCACAAGUCUGGAGUGAAAGCCCAGGGCUUAACCCCGGAACUGCUUUGGAAACUGUGUGGCUGGAGUGUAGGAGGGGUAAGCGGAAUUCCUAGUGUAGCGGUGAAAGGCGUAGAUAUUAGGAGGAACACCGGUGGCGAAGGCGGCUUACUGGACUGUAACUGACGUUGAGGCUCGAAAGCGUGGGGAGCAAACAGGAUCAGAUACCCGAGUAGUC
rnacentral:rRNA from 1 species